CCGGUGGUUGGGAGGAGGAGGGAGUGGAGCAUGCCAUCGCCGUUGAAGAGGUGGUGGGUGCCACCUGGGAGGUGGUGGGGAUUGGGGCCGUUGCAGAUGUAGGCGCCACCGGCGAGGCAAUCCAGGAGGGUACCGAUAAUGGUGGGGCACUGUGUGGGAGGGAGUUCGGAGACUGGAGCAAAGUUUCCUGAGAGAACGUUGACGGGAUCGACAGAGGGGCGGCGGUGAGGUGGGUCAAUGUGUUGGUUGAUGAAUUCGUUGAGUGCUCUGCAGAAAGUGGCGGCCAGUGACGGCGGUGACCGGGGGGAGCUCAUGCUUUUUGUGCUGACGGAUUGUGUUAAGUUAGUGGUGUUGGUGGGGGCUUUAGGUUGAAGUUGGAUCUCGG
rnacentral:misc_RNA from 1 species